CGUGAAAUUGUUGAAAGGGAAGCGCUUGCAAUCAGACUUGCACUUGGUGUUCAUCAGGGUCUCGUACCCUGUGUAAUUCAUCAAGUUAAGGCCAGAAUCAGUUUGAGUGGUUAGAUAAAGGAUUAGAGAAUGUGGAACUCUUCGGGGGGUGUUAUAGAUAUAGGUGAAAUGUAGAAUAAUUGGGAUGAGGAACGAGCUUAGGAUAGGAUGAUGGCGUAAUGGUUGUUAGCGACCCGUCUUGACACACGG
rnacentral:rRNA from 1 species